CUUCGUCUGCUUCUUUUGCUUUUUCAGAUAGUUUCCAUUCUCACUCUUUCUCUCUCUUUCUCUCUCAGAGCUUUUAUUAAUGUUAGAUCUGUCUCUUACGUCGCUUCGAAGUCUUCUUCAUUCCUUCUUCACAUACAACCCCCAACGAAUCCCUAAUUUAUCCAAUUCCACACUCCGCUACAGAGAGAGAGAUAGAGAGAUCUCAAUCAAAUUCGUCGACAAUGGCGUCUCCCAAUCCCUACACCAAGCGUCGCUCUCCUCCUCCGCCGCCGUCUACCACUCAGCCCCGUUCCAAAUCCACCGGAGGAGGAGGAGGAUUCUUCUGUAAGUCUGUUCUAUUCGCUCUCUUUCUCCUCGCCUUGCCUUUAUUCCCUUCUCAAGCCCCCGAUUUCGUCGGCGAGACUGUGCUCACCAAGUUCUGGGAACUCAUUCACCUCCUAUUCGUCGGCAUUGCUGUUGCUUAUGGUUUGUUUAGCCGUAGGACUGUUGAAUCCCCUCUUGAUUUUAGUCUAGUAGAUGACUCUUCUUCUUCUUCUUCUUCUUCUUCUUCUUCUUUGUCUUAUGUUUCCACAAUCUUCCAGUUUGAUGAGAAUCAUCAUCAUUCUUCUGAUUUUGUUGAUGUGAGGACUGAGACUCGUUUGAUUAAUAAUAAUGUCAGUGCUCGUCGAGCUCCGGUGGUUCUUAAAUCCGAGUCUUCUUUUGUUGUUGAAUCCGAAUUGGAAGAAUCGUCUUCUGAAUAUGUUGGUGGUGGUGCUAGUCAAAGUCAAACCAAUGAAGUCAGAGCUUGGAGUUCCCAGUAUUUUCAAGGCAAGUCUAAGGUUGUGGUUGCUAGACCAGCUUAUGGUCUUGAUGGUCAUGUUGUUCACCAGCCUUUAGGCUUGCCUAUUAGGAGUUUAAGGUCUGCUUUGAGAGAUAAUACUCCAGCUCCUGAAGAUAAUAACAAUAACUCCUUUUCUGAUGGAGCUGUAAAUGGGGAAGCUGACUCAUUAUUAUUGCCUGAUGAGGUCGUGGCUGCUCCCACUUCACCUCCUGUUCCAUGGCAUUUUACACCUGAAAUGAUGGGAAUGGGAGACAACUACCCUUCUGAGUUUUAUCCUCAAUCUGUAGAUGAAACUCAAUUUACGACUCGCAAAUCGGCAUCAUCUUCUUCCCGGUCUACUGCUUCUUCUCCAUCGCAAACUAGUCUUGCAUCCCAUACUCAGAACAGAUUCUCUCCUUCUCGUUCUGUUUCUCAGGAGUCUCUAAACUCAAAUGUGGAAGAACUGGUCAAGGAACAGAGUCUUCAGGGUUCAACACGGUCUAGUUCGCCAUCCUUGCCCCCAUCACCGUCUUUGUCUUCAUCUCCACCAUCGCCACAAUUACUGAUCGAUGAUACUCACAGGCGUUUGCCAGAAUUAGUAACCGAUGAUACUCACAGGCGUUUGCCAGAAUUAGUAACUGAUGAUACUCACAGGCGUGCCUCACAUUCUCGGCAUUACAGUGAUGGUUCAUUGUUAGAGGAGGGUGUAAGGAAGGGCUUUGAAGAUGAACUGGAAGGGAGCAAAGUCAGAGAGAGAGACAGGAGGAUGGAACGGGGAUCUAAAUCACUUAAUUUGACUGCUGAAAGUUCCCGCAGAGGGAACAAAUCUCGCAGAUCCUACCCUCCUGAGUCCAUCUCAUCUCCCGUGGAUGACUCCACAACUAGGAGACGGAAUCUUCAGCAAAAGAGUAAUGGCCAUUUGCUUGAAGACAAUAUCGGGAAAGGAUCGGAGGCCAACAAUAACAAUCUGAGGGUCAAAAAGGGAAGGAGUCACGACUCUUUGGACCUACCAGCGGAAGACUCUACAAAAGAUGAGGUAUUCAGUGAAUCUUUUCCUGCUCUGGAGGUACGGUUCCAGCCAACGAAUGCUAAAGCUUCAAGGCGUGCAAUGCAUUCUUCACGAGGGGAACGUGACGCUUUGCCGCAGAAGGAUGUCACAAGAAACUUAAAAGAUGACACUGUGCAUUCAGAUAAGCCCAGGAAAAAGGACCUUCGCGGUAAUGACAAGGAAUCGAAAUCAAAUAGUCCGAGGCUUGAAUCACGUUCUUGGAGGGCUUCUAGUAAUGUAUCACUGAGAGGAAAGUCUGUGAGGACCAUAAGAUCUGAUCGCCAUGGGAAAGAUCUAAAGGCAGAUGGAGAUUCAUCUGAUGAUCGGGCAGAAGCUAAAGUAGAAAGCCGAGGAAGAACGAAAUCGAGAAGACAACGAGAACAAGAACUAUCAAUUGUACUGCACCAGGAGAAGAGUUCAGAAACUCGCGCUAAAUCUGAGCCAGAAGAGGUUGCUAUGGAAGAGACAGAGGCCGAGCAGCAACCUCAAGUAACUUUAGAGGAAGAGGAAGAAGCUGCUUGGGAAAGUCAAAGCAAUGCGAGCCAUGACCAUAAUGAGGUUGAUAGAAAAGCCGGCGAGUUCAUAGCAAAAUUCCGGCAACAAAUCCGGUUGCAGAAGCUCAUAUCCGGUGAACAACCUAGAGGAGGAGGAGGAGGCACUGGAAUCGCCGGAGGGAGAAGCUAUGGUGAUAAUUUUAUCAACUCCUCUCUAUCCAAGACUUACAGUUCUACGUGAAACAAAAGUGCAAACGAUCGUUAUGUUGCUCACUGAGUGAAGAACCAAAAGACCAAAGGUAGACUGUGAAGACUUGCAAAAGAUAGUCGCUUGAAAUCUUUGUUCACUGUUACACGAUGAACCACACUCUUGUAUAUGCCAU